GGAGUGUUUGCACCGCUGGUGCGGGCCCGGGUCUUCAAAACCCGUGGAGGGUGUGAACAACGCCCUCAGUCGGUUCGAUUCCGAUACACUCCC
rnacentral:tRNA from 1 species